rnacentral:misc_RNA from 1 species
AAAGUCGUAACAAGGUUUCCGUAGGUGAACCUGCGGAAGGAUCAUUGCAAAAUAUUGUUUGAGAUAUGUCGGAAUGUGAAGAUAAAGUGUUAGACAAUCAUUUAUACAUUAUAUAUACAACUCUCCACAAUGGAUCUCUGGGCUCUU